GAAACUCGCUGUUGUUGUUCCGGAUCCAGAGUCAGUAAGUGUUGAAGCUUUCCUUUGACUCUGUGGACCCAGAAGCUUCUGAGUCCUCAGAGUAAACUACAGUAAAAUACUGUUUUCUGCCUGAACCGCGGUAGUUGGCGAGUAUUUGACCAAAAUUAGCGUUUCAAGAGUCCUUUAAAACUUGAGUUACAGUGACGGUGAUAUUAGAUUUUUAAAGGUAUAGCUCGUUCAAGUACUUUUUACCGUAAACAGUGCUGAACUCUGGGUCACAGACCUGCUGAUCACGUUUUCGCAGCUCAUUUCCUUGUAAUGAGAGGACGGAGCGCGCAAAACGCGAGCCAAUGGAAGCCUGUGGGCCAUCAACACGUGAUCAAUCAGUACGUUUAGUCACCGAGAGAACUCUUAUUAAUCUGCAUUUUUAAUGCAGUUUAUUCAUUUUUCACAGUUGAUAAGAUGUUUACCACAUUAAUAAAAAAGAAAAACAAUCUGUUUUUUUUUUUUUUUGAAGAAUAGAUAUUAUUCAAUAACAGUCCGUCAUUCUUCCAAGAGUACCCAGAUGCAGCGCCAAGAUGGCGGACCCAAAGAUAAAAAACCACAUUUACAAAACGCAAUAAGUUUCCGCAUUACCUCCGAUUGGCGGACCCAAAACAUGAACUUUGAACUUCUGCUUUGCGAUGCCAGAACAGUAGGUGGCGGUAUGUACCUACACUUUCUGACGGCAAAAUUUACAGAAGAAGAAGAACUCUCAGGAAGUUUGAAAAGAAGCAAGCCGUCCGCAUUCAUUCAAUCUCACCUCCGACCACUCAAACUAACCCUAACCCUGCAUUCCAUUGUUUCCAUCAUGGGAAAUCUAAGUGACGCUCUCAAAUUAACAGGAACAUUGCGCAGAAGAUAUGUCCUGGGCAAUGGACUGAGAAAACGGGCAGAGAUUUGGAGGUAUUUGUGCAUGCUCUAUAUUACAGUUGAAAAGUGUAUAACAGCUUUCCAAUGCUGUUACUUGUGGCGAACACCUUUUUGCUUGAGUUGAUGCGUGCCCGCAGGUGGAAUAAUGUCACAUGUCACACACAUUUUCUGUCGUUUUGAUUUAUUUACUCAUUCAUCAUUUUAUGUGCGCACCUCUCCUAAUCAACCCACCCAUUAAAUAGACGGGCACAAUAGCACCAUCUGCUGGCACAAAAAAUACAUAACAAUAAACUGCAAAACCCCAAUCUGGCUCCUACAAAGUGUAUGUGACAAGAUGAUUAACGUUUGCUUUUGUUAAAUCAGGGCUUCCCCAGCCAGGACUUCGGCUCAGACUGUGGCAUAUUCAUGUUGAUGGUAGGUCAUAACGAGCUGUAAUGCACAAAUAUUGUAUCUAGAAUAACUUUCCAACAUGGACUUUUUUAAAGUUAUCUCACAUGUUGUCUCAUAAUUUUUUUUUUAAAGUCUGCCAUGUACAUCGUUAUGGAGUCACAGUUUGACUACUCAGUUGUAAGUACUUUUCAACACGCAGUGUCAUCCUCAAGAUUGUAUUUUGUAUUGUGCACUAAAAUGAAAUACAAACAACAAUUUCAGCAUGACAUGCCUGUUUGGCGGCGAUGGUGGUGCCUGUUGCUCCUGGAGAACAAUUCUUUGAACAGGUAGACAGUUUAAGUAAACUAGAUGUCCUAAUUAACUGGAAGACAAUCAAUAUAUUGUACUUAAAGACAUAUUGUCAUUACAGUUGUGGGAAAAUCUUCGCCCACUGGACCAAAGAAUGUCAAGAGCUCAUUGCUGGAAAGCAUACUCCGGUCUUCAGUCUAAAGAGGAAGGCAGAGCAGCAGGACACAGAGGUUAGGAAAUUGCCUUGUAAAAACAGUAUUAUCUCAGUGGGAGUCCUUCAAAAUGCACACAGUUGUAUGGAUCAACAUUGUCUCGAUGUAUUUGGUAAUUGAUGUUACUUUUCAAAUUGCCUUGUCAAGGAAACCAUGACGCAGACGGUAUCGGAUGUCCAAAGAAUGUGCAUGGCAGAUUCAAUGCAAUUCUGUGUCUACCAGACAUCGAACAACACAGGAGAGAGGUGUGUUGCAGACUCAAUUUAAUAAAUGCAAUUAUCGGGGCCUAUUCAGUGAUUUUCCAUGAAGUGACCACUUUUACAUAUAGUUUAAAUGCACGAAUCAUGCAGGAAAAUUAUUUAUACAUUCAAAUGUGCUGCAGAGGUAUAAUCAAUUGGACAGCAUGUUUGUUUGAUAUUAUGUUUGUCUCUCAUUUGAUCAGAUUGCUUUACCCUGAGGUAAACGUCAUAAAAUGGGUCCAGUGCAAGACGUGCAGGGGCUGGCUGCAUCAGGAUUGUGCUGGGAUUGAAAUGGAGCCGUUUGACUGCGGGUGCGAGGACUCCAUUGAGCAUCCUCGGUAUAACAUAAUUUAUCAAGGAAACAUAGUAUCAGUCAAAAAUACGAGGCUCAAAGGAUGAAAAAAUGAGGGCUUGCUCUUUUCUUAUUUCUCUGCAGGAUCAAGGAUGCUGUUGACAGUUGAGGAAUUCAUGCUGUCUUUUCUAAGACACAGAUCAAGGUUGCUUUUGAAUGCACUAUCAGUUGUUAAAGCCACCGUUUCUUUUUCAGAUGAUUACAUUUUUGUCUCUUGCUCUUUGGUUUCAGACAUUACACGAUGAUCUACUGUCUGGAAAGAUCCGCUCCAACAGAAUGUUCCUUUGGAGGAAUCCCGCCACCUCACUCCGACUAAAGCAGCAUCUUAAGAUAAGGACACUAAGUUGGAGUGAGCAGCGCGUAAGUAAAAAUGCCAUCCAUCAUGAGUAUUUUUACUCUCAGGGGUGUUACAUUUGAAAGGUGUUUACUUUCUGUGUUUUUCUUCAAUAGAUGUUCGAGCUCCUGCGGUUCAUUGAGGUGGCAACAAACAUUUCUAAAAAAAUAAAGAGAGGCGAGAUUCAUCUGCUUGAUUUCGUUUUUGACGUCAUGCUCCCAGAGGUGAGUAGAUCAAACUAUAUAGCUUGCUUUGAAAAAUGAUGAUAUUGUUAAGAGGUUGUUCUUAUUCAUUUGGAAAGCUCAAGAACAACAAUUAACCCAUACUGCAUAACUUCAAUUGUUCACAUUAUUUGACUGUUUUUCAGCUUUUGAUCAAAGCACUGAAGGAGCAUGGCAUCAACCGGUUCAGAGCAGAGCUGAUGAUGGCCUGUGGCAACGUGUUUUAAGCCCCCCACCACACCGACGGCAGUGCUGAAUUUUGUAUAUAUAUAUUUUUUUUUACUGUUCACAAUUUUGUUUGGAAAAAAUUAAAGAAAUCUUCAAAGCAGUUGUAUGACAAUUUCCCAUUUCUUUACACAGUCUGUAAUGAUAUCGCUAUUCAAUUGUUUUUGCUAUAUGGCUCUUCUGAACCUUAAAGAGAUCAUGUGACUUGUGUCUCUACAACUAUUGUAUACUUGGAUUUUGCACAGUCAAGCAAUCCUGAAGAGGUUCACCAGGAAGCACACCAUUUCAUAAAUUAUGUCCCUGGUGUAGCAAUCAAGACAACCCUGGGUGUGAAACCCACACAUUCCUCACAGGAAAGCUUCCUUAUCUGGUCCCAGGAAACAGGAUAUAAAUCUUUCCAGACGUGUUUGCACUUUCAGGUUAAAUAAGUGACCCAACAGGAGGUUGACUAAACCUCUGACUCUUCACGAUUGGUCAAUUCGGAGAACAGAGACAGAGUUUUAUUACCUUUCAAACUGACUCCAUUUGCUGACCAUCUAAAUAAACAUUAACGUCUCAACCCAGAUCUCCCAUUUGAGAUUUAGUGUCUUAAAGUGUGUGAACAUACGGACCCUAGGAAAAGGGGGGACACUGACCUCCAGACCUCGGUCGUAAAACCCUGCUCGACCAUACACUGAUAAAGACUGCAUUCCUUUGGUGAAAGAAUACAAAUGACUGAUCAUGACAUCUUAUGCAUUCAGCAAUGUACUAAUCUGUCUAAUCAUGAAAUUUGUGUCAAAAUGAGAUGUUUCCCGUUUUUCUAUGUGCUUCAGAAGCCAAGUUAUCUUAUCUGACAGAAUAAAUCCUUAUUCUUUAGUUCUUUAGACCAACAGCUUUUCAGACUGUUUCAUGAACUUUUAAGAGUUAAAUUUAUUGACUAUGAAUCCUAAGUUUACUCUAAGUAACAGAAAUAGUUUAGAAAUGUUUGGUUUAUAUUGUAGUUGUUUAUUUAGUAUUUUUAACCAUUAGGUGGUUAUAAUGUCAUUGAAUAACCUUAAUGUGAGUAUUUAGAAUCCAUUAUUAAUCAUGAUGAAGUUCAUUCACAUGUGUUUACGCUUUUGUUGUUCACAGUUUCCAUGUGUUACUGUCUGUUUCAUUUCAGAGUAAUUUAGCAUGUUCAAUGUGAUACUUAAAACAUAAUGAGAAUGUUUGAUGUGAUCCUACACUUCAUUCAUAUGUGUUUAGUGUCAAAUUAUUUGUCAUGAAACCAAGCAUUCAAUGAUAUUAAUCAUAGUGAGUGAGUAUCAGAUCUGACUCUUUUACCAGCCAAAAGAAUAAGUUAGAUCAAAUAAUCAAAGACCACACGACCCCUCCUCUGUCUCCUCACACACACGCCGGAGCCACUCCCAGUGUGAAGAAGAUAAAACCAGUGAAGUCGGGUUGCUCACACGCUCUUAUUCCUCUUAUUCCGCUUAUGCUUCUGCUCUUCUGCCCACACCCUUCUGUGGUGCGUUUCUUUAUUUUCUCUUAGAACUUUUUCUUAGUCUUCUAAGUUUUACGCCACGUGUUGAUUCACGUUGAUUUUUCUUUAACAUCGUCUUAGUUCAAGUUUUGAAACUUCAACUUUUUGUGCACAUAGCAAUUCAAGAUUAAGCCUUUGAUUGAUUUUCUUUAAUUUCGCGAAGCCAUUUUUGAAAGUUUUCUCUGCUCUUCGAGCCUCGUUUUUCUGAGUUUUCUGCGUGAUUUCAAAGUCACCUCCGAACGCAAUCCAACAGGCCCAGGUCAUCCUCUGUGCCAGAGUUUUUGAGUGAGACUAAAGAAGUACCCAAACGAGCAUCCACAGGAUCCACAGGCGCUGGCUUUGCUUCGGGCCCGAGUGCUGCAACUCCUGGCUCAUCCUUCGGCUGACUUCAGUCGUCUUCUGAGCUGAACCGCUCGAACCGCCAGUAGCCCCGGACCUUCGGAACCUGCUCCAUCUUCUCCAAGGACCAGUCUCACUUAAGUAUGCAAACCUCCAGAGCUCCAGAGAGGGCUGGUGCUGUCUCAUGCGUUCAUAACUCAGAUAUCCACCUAUUUCUGGUGAUCUUAGAUUCCUCCAAAUCCACAUCCGAGUUUAUCUCGACACCAAAGUUAGUGUAGGUUAAUAUGUUAGCGCAUAUUCACUCACUAUCAUUAACUUUAGUGCUCCUAGCCUGACUCAGAAUCUUUAUUUAUUCACCUAUUAUUAUUUUAUCCUCAUUAUCUUAUCAUCAUUUAUUGCAUGUGUGUUGUACCAUCAUUUAUCCUGUAAUAAACAGAUCAUUAUAUUUGUAAGUUCCUGUCUGUUAGUGUUCUUCCAGAAGUGGAGUCCCUGAAAUUAGAAUUUCGACUUAAGAUAUGAGACUGAUUAAUUAAGACUGACUUGAUGUUUGACUUCUGAAUUAAACUUUUGUUUUCUUUAUUUUCCCACCAUUAAGGGUGGGUGGUGCCCCUUUCAACGAGUGCAUAAAUGUCAUAAUUUGAGAUUAUUAAUCUUCAGACAUUUAUUAUAAAUUCCAAUCGCUACAGUACUAUUUUGGUACGGCCUUGUGAGGCUCAUUUCAACCGCUACAUAUAUUUUGUUGCGACCGUGUGAGGCUCAUUUCAAAUCACUACAUAUUAUUUUGGUGCCCCGUGUGAGGCGUUUCAAACAAAACUUCUGGAUACUAACAGACAACCUAAAACUUAGCCUUCCAAAUUGAUGAGAGAAACUUAUUUCCAGGCUAUUUUAGACUAAAUCACAAUCAAGGCUCUGCUUGCUGAAGUUGCUUGACUAAGUUCUGAUGUUUUCAUGAUCUAUGCAUAAAACCUUUAUGCUCUGUGUUUCACACACUUUUGUACUACAUGCCUGUAGUCUGUGUUUGAGCUGGACAGCGUGAAUGGUUGUUCUGAGUAGCAGUGAGACUGACUCUUCUGCUCUGUCUAGACUGUCCAAUAUUGAAGUGCACGAUUGUUGCGUCGCCGUACGCUUGUAUUUAAGGCCUUUGGCUGAACCCAGUGUUCGCGAUGCUCCGAGCUGUGGUUUCAAGCCCCUGAAGUCUCUGUAGUCUGCUACGAGGUUCUAGUAACUAUAUGGGAUUCAGAUUUCCUCCUUUCCCCUGACAGAUUAGCUACCUGUCACAGGAAACCACUGUAACAGUGGGAGGUUGUUGUUUGAUUGAAUUCAGACAAAAUUUGUGUUCACAAAUCGCCGCAUUUGUGAUUUUUUUUAAAAGUCUGCAGUUGAAUCUGCUGUUGAGGGAUUUGUCACUUUGAUUCUUGUCUCUAUCGUCUGCUACGAAGUUCUAGUAACUAUAUGUAUGGGAUUCAGAUUUCCUCCUUUCCCCUGACAGAUUAACUACCUGUCACAGGAAACCACUGUAACAGUGGGAGGCUGUUGUUUGAAUGAAUUCAGACAAAAUCCGUGAUCACAAAUCGCCGCAUUUGUGAUUUUUUUUAAGUCUGCAGUUGAAUCUGCUGUUUAAGGAUUUGCCACUUUGAUCCUUGUUCCUGUAAAUGAUUUUAUUGAACCAAUCUGCCUGAGCAGAUGGUGUAAAGUUCUAUGUUUGAGGGUGCAGACGCAGCCUGCUGUAAAAUGUUAACCCUUUGUUGUCAGUGGAGAGACUGACCCUUUGGCCUUAAGCAGAUAAGGCCCUUCAAGGAGGCAGAGCCUAAAGGCCCCUUCCUGCACACUUCCCAACUCCUCACAGCCACAAGAGGCUAGUUGGAUGACUGUUUCCUCUUCUCUUCUUCUUCUCCACUUGUGUUGAGCUUGUGCAGUUACCCCAACUCCAUACUGCCCCACAUGGUUGUUUUUGGUAUUGAGCUAACACUGCUAUUAUCUGCCUGCAGUAUCAGCCAGCUGUACUGCCUCUCUGUAGUCAGUGUGUAACACUCUACAGACAUAACUCAAGUGAUUGACUUGGUUGAUGAAGUUUGAUGUGCUUAUUCUAAAUCAUUGAUCAUUGAUUUUUGAUUUUUAUCUUUGUUAUAAGAGCCUACAUAAUGUAUUGAUAAAGUAACUCAUUGAAUCAAUCACCUGAUCUGUUGUUACUUAUCACACCAUUGAGCAGUUUUACUGUUCCCUAUAAUACAUGAAUGUAUUAACCCUCCUCAUAAGAUUAAUUAAUUAAUGAACAAAUUAAUUAAUAUUUGAAAUCUAUUUUACCAUUUCAGAUGAAUUGGGUAGUUGAAUCUUUGGCUUUAUUGCGAUUUGUGAAUUAACUUCAGAGUUAAUUCCUUAAAUUGACAAUUUCAUUGGUUUCAGAUUCAUCCAACUGCAUCAGGCAGUUUAUUUAAGCUUUGCUGAUCUCUGCAACACGGAGACAAUUUGAACCCUUUAUUCAAUGGUUCUGUAUCUGAUGUUAAAUUUAAUUUAACAUUAUUUCACCUUGUUUUAUUUCAAUUUUCAUUGAAAUGAAUUUAACUUUAUGUUAUUUUUCUCUCCAUUAGAGAUCUACUCAGAUAGGCUCUUCCUCUUUAUCAAGCACUGAUAAAUUAAGUCGAUUAACUCACUUAAUUUGAUAUUUUGCUUCUUCUUUUCAUUUUAAGCCAACUCAAACUCAUCAACCAACCACCUGCUCCUCUUUACCAAAACCAAACAUGCCUAACACAAAAGAGUCCAGCCAGGGAGACCCCCUGAGGGACAUACACACAGUGUUAGCAAACUUAACUAGUCAGCUGAUACCUCAGUACAUGACUAAGAUUCAUAAGGCCAAACCCUCCAAUCCGGAGGAUGAAAUGGCUGACUUACUGGAAACAGCCUUAACCACGACACUUCGUGACAAAGAGCUCACUAGAUGCAUGUCUGUCAUGAUGUCUUCUCAGCUUGAGUAUAAAGACUACUUGCUGGAAUGCGCUUUCGCAAAGAUAAAGGCGCAAAAAGAUGAAAACAGCGCUCUGAAAAAGACGCUAGAGGAGACUAAGAAGUCUUUAAGUGUUUUAGAAAAACACAGUGCCAGAUGUGAAGCGUCAAAGCUUCCCUCACUGAUAAGUCAUGAAGAAAAUCUUGAUCUCAAAGACAAGAUUGAAAGACUUAAUGAAAACCUUUACAAAAAGGAGAAAGAACUUGAUGACACGAAUAAGCAGCUUGCUAAGACCACAGAGGAUCUGAUACAGUCAGAAUCCCUACUAGAGCAAGCAACAGAAGAUGUAAAAGCUUUGAAAGCACUGGUCAAAGUGCGUGCUGAAGCUCUUGAAGUUAAGGAGAAGCAAACUUCUACCUUACAGCACCAGCUCAAGAUAGCUCAAAGACAGUUAAUUCUUUGUCAAGAACGGCAAGAAAAGACAGACAAAGAACUUGAAGAUGCCCAAAGAGAGUUACAAUGCUCCCUCCAGUCGGGUCGAGCCCAAAGAGAACGCAUGGAGCAAACUUUUCUUGAAGAAAUGAUAGGUGAUCAGCCUCCUGAGAGAGCGCCAUCACUUCCUUCCAAACCAACUCUUAAGUAUCUCUCUCAGCAUCAUGACAGGACCCUGCUUGACCCUGAGAGGUCAUCCUUAAACCAAGAGUCCUACUCUCCUCCCCAUGAUGGCUUCUUACCAUUUCCCUCAGAUAGGGAUCUUGACAAAAUUGCUCGCAACAUAGCACGCUUUGAACCUGAGCACCAAGGUGCUACUGACACCUGCACCUACUUGAAAGACAUUGACUUUUACCUGAGGAAAUUUCCAGGUGCAACCAUUGAUGACAAAAUCUACCUUAUUAAGGCGACGUCAAGUCGAGAGGUUAGCAGUUUCCUUGAACGACAGCCUUAUCAUGUCAGAAAUAAUUAUGACUUGCUCUGCCAAGCAUUAAUCAAAGAGUUUUCUGAUCAUUUGACCCAGACAGGCCUUUCUGCUGCUCUGUCUAUUAAACAAGGGAGAUCAGAAUCUCCCCAACAUUAUUACAACCGCUUACGCGAAGCUUACUUUGGUUUCCGAAAUGAACCAGAAAUGGAGGAGGACUUGAACUUCAAAACGCUGUUCGUCCAGAACCUCCACCCUACCACCAGUCAUCACCUUGGCGUCUUAGCUUGUCCAAACACUUCGACUAGCCGACAGCUUCGUGAACUUGCUGUAAAAGGUUUUGCCAAACAACGACAAACUUUGGCUAAGAAAGCAGAGUCCGUUACUCUCUUGGCUAUGGAGACAAGAUCACUGCCCAUGGAGCUGAACGAAGCUUCAGACUGUGUAUUUUCAGGCUCCGAUAAGCCUCCAAAUGAGUGGUUAACCAGGCCUUCAAAACCUUUUCGACCGCAACAAACUCACAUAGGUCAAAGUUACACACCAAGGCCCAGUUCUGACACAGACCAACGCCAGGUAAACUUUGAGACCAACCGUUGUUAUUCAGACUCCCGUCACGGUGGGUUUUAUCCCAGACAAAGGAAAAACCAUCAACACCGCCAAAGGGGGGUGAAUGACUGGCAGAAUCAGAGUAAAUUACACUCUCAGAAACGACGAUCUUAUUAUCCACCUCAAUCGGUUUCAUCCACUUUGAAGGUGAAUAAACAUGACUACUCAGCUAACCACUGAGAUUAACACUGUGGAGUCAUGAAGGUGUGAGUCCUGCGAAAGCAGAAGUCACCUAGCCAAAGCUAAAUGACUCCAAUAAGAUAUCCAAAUGCUGUGGUGAUACAUUGAUGACUGCAAUACCAGUUGCUGCUUUCUUUGUUAGCAUUUGUCUCUCCUCUGUCAAUAUAGUCAGCUUGUCAGCUGUCAAAUAUCCCAUGAACAGAUUAAAAGCUGAAAUUUCUGUCACUAAGACUCAGAUUGACAAAUUUCAGACUCAACAGCAGAUAAUUAGUCAAACCGAUAAGAGCAUCAUCCCCAAGUUUAACAGACAAAGUUUAAGAGAAACUCUGUGCAGUAAACUUUUGAUGUUUGUGAUUCAGGUUGACUAUGCUCAUACACAGAUGGUUAAUAUGUCUAUAGCAGACAUUUCUUUUCCACCUAAGUCUUAACCAUUUUUGAAACUGAAAUUGAACUUUCAGACUUCUCCAGCAAGCAUGAAAAACAGCUAUAGCUUUAGAUCCAGUUAGCAUUCAGACUAAAGAGUGCUUUUCUAAAUCUCAUUAAUACUGAAAAUUAGGAGAUUUUCUUUCACAUUAGUCUACCAAUAGUUAACUGAGAAAAGUCUAACACCUAGACGAUUUUAUUUGAUAGCUUAAUGCAUGCUUGAUGUUAUCUUAAAGCAGAUACUAGUGAUUCACAUAGUGAUAAUGAGACGCAUCAGUCCUAUUUGCAUACACCUGCUGCUGCUGCUGCUGCUUCAUGGUUGUCUACUCGUCGUCCCGAUGCUCCAUGGACAGGACCACCGUGACGAAGGGGGGACUGUAGCAAUCAAGACAACCCUGGGUGUGAAACCCACACAUUCCUCACAGGAAAGCUUCCUUAUCUGGUCCCAGGAAACAGGAUAUAAAUCUUUCCAGACGUGUUUGCACUUUCAGGUUAAAUAAGUGACCCAACAGGAGGUUGACUAAACCUCUGACUCUUCACGAUUGGUCAAUUCGGAGAACAGAGACAGAGUUUUAUUACCUUUCAAACUGACUCCAUUUGCUGACCAUCUAAAUAAACAUUAACGUCUCAACCCAGAUCUCCCAUUUGAGAUUUAGUGUCUUAAAGUGUGUGAACAUACGGACCCUAGGAAAAGGGGGGACACUGACCUCCAGACCUCGGUCGUAAAACCCUGCUCGACCAUACACUGAUAAAGACUGCAUUCCUUUGGUGAAAGAAUACAAAUGACUGAUCAUGACAUCUUAUGCAUUCAGCAAUGUACUAAUCUGUCUAAUCAUGAAAUUUGUGUCAAAAUGAGAUGUUUCCCGUUUUUCUAUGUGCUUCAGAAGCCAAGUUAUCUUAUCUGACAGAAUAAAUCCUUAUUCUUUAGUUCUUUAGACCAACAGCUUUUCAGACUGUUUCAUGAACUUUUAAGAGUUAAAUUUAUUGACUAUGAAUCCUAAGUUUACUCUAAGUAACAGAAAUAGUUUAGAAAUGUUUGGUUUAUAUUGUAGUUGUUUAUUUAGUAUUUUUAACCAUUAGGUGGUUAUAAUGUCAUUGAAUAACCUUAAUGUGAGUAUUUAGAAUCCAUUAUUAAUCAUGAUGAAGUUCAUUCACAUGUGUUUACGCUUUUGUUGUUCACAGUUUCCAUGUGUUACUGUCUGUUUCAUUUCAGAGUAAUUUAGCAUGUUCAAUGUGAUACUUAAAACAUAAUGAGAAUGUUUGAUGUGAUCCUACACUUCAUUCAUAUGUGUUUAGUGUCAAAUUAUUUGUCAUGAAACCAAGCAUUCAAUGAUAUUAAUCAUAGUGAGUGAGUAUCAGAUCUGACUCUUUUACCAGCCAAAAGAAUAAGUUAGAUCAAAUAAUCAAAGACCACACGACCCCUCCUCUGUCUCCUCACACACACGCCGGAGCCACUCCCAGUGUGAAGAAGAUAAAACCAGUGAAGUCGGGUUGCUCACACGCUCUUAUUCCUCUUAUUCCGCUUAUGCUUCUGCUCUUCUGCCCACACCCUUCUGUGGUGCGUUUCUUUAUUUUCUCUUAGAACUUUUUCUUAGUCUUCUAAGUUUUACGCCACGUGUUGAUUCACGUUGAUUUUUCUUUAACAUCGUCUUAGUUCAAGUUUUGAAACUUCAACUUUUUGUGCACAUAGCAAUUCAAGAUUAAGCCUUUGAUUGAUUUUCUUUAAUUUCGCGAAGCCAUUUUUGAAAGUUUUCUCUGCUCUUCGAGCCUCGUUUUUCUGAGUUUUCUGCGUGAUUUCAAAGUCACCUCCGAACGCAAUCCAACAGGCCCAGGUCAUCCUCUGUGCCAGAGUUUUUGAGUGAGACUAAAGAAGUACCCAAACGAGCAUCCACAGGAUCCACAGGCGCUGGCUUUGCUUCGGGCCCGAGUGCUGCAACUCCUGGCUCAUCCUUCGGCUGACUUCAGUCGUCUUCUGAGCUGAACCGCUCGAACCGCCAGUAGCCCCGGACCUUCGGAACCUGCUCCAUCUUCUCCAAGGACCAGUCUCACUUAAGUAUGCAAACCUCCAGAGCUCCAGAGAGGGCUGGUGCUGUCUCAUGCGUUCAUAACUCAGAUAUCCACCUAUUUCUGGUGAUCUUAGAUUCCUCCAAAUCCACAUCCGAGUUUAUCUCGACACCAAAGUUAGUGUAGGUUAAUAUGUUAGCGCAUAUUCACUCACUAUCAUUAACUUUAGUGCUCCUAGCCUGACUCAGAAUCUUUAUUUAUUCACCUAUUAUUAUUUUAUCCUCAUUAUCUUAUCAUCAUUUAUUGCAUGUGUGUUGUACCAUCAUUUAUCCUGUAAUAAACAGAUCAUUAUAUUUGUAAGUUCCUGUCUGUUAGUGUUCUUCCAGAAGUGGAGUCCCUGAAAUUAGAAUUUCGACUUAAGAUAUGAGACUGAUUAAUUAAGACUGACUUGAUGUUUGACUUCUGAAUUAAACUUUUGUUUUCUUUAUUUUCCCACCAUUAAGGGUGGGUGGUGCCCCUUUCAACGAGUGCAUAAAUGUCAUAAUUUGAGAUUAUUAAUCUUCAGACAUUUAUUAUAAAUUCCAAUCGCUACAGUACUAUUUUGGUACGGCCUUGUGAGGCUCAUUUCAACCGCUACAUAUAUUUUGUUGCGACCGUGUGAGGCUCAUUUCAAAUCACUACACUGGUUACACAAUGUUACUAAAGGAUGGGGGGGAGUAAAUUUGUGCAGCAACAUAAGCACUCUCAUAAAACAUAAUUAUGAACAACAGAAAAUAUGUGAGGGUCAGGGCAACAUUGUUGACAUUAAACGAGGUCCUAAUAGGAGUGGAGAAACAAGGUCACAGAGAAGUUAAGAAACAUUGAUGUGCUGUGUAAUAAAGCUAUUGGAGAGAAAAGUUAGAAAACACUGUUAUAUGAUGUGUAACGAGAGGUUAAAACAGUCCAUACUUGUAGCAAACUCUUACAAAAGAAUUUGAGUAAGAUGAUAACUUCUACAUACAUUUACCUAUUCUGACAAAUUAUCAGAAUAUGAGGACAUCAGGCUAUAUAUACAUAUUACUGUAAACUUCAGAAUUAAAUCAGAACAAAACAGUAGUCAUAAUUAAUACAUAAACGUUUUAUUUUGAUUUUUAGCUCAAUAAUAAAUUUAAUUCGAUUCUUAUGGAAUGAACGGAGCAAAAAAAAAAGGAUCCGGCGACUAAAUCCGACUACCUGAAGUAUUUCGGCGCCGGAAGUCCGCCAACGAGAAAGCCUUUCCACCGGAAGUAAUUGUUUUGGGUCCGCCAAUCGGAGGAACUUAUUGCGUUUUGUAAAUGUGGUUUUCUAUCUUUGGGUCCGCCAUCUUGCGCUGCAUCUGGUCACCUCUCCAUUCUUCCUGUCCAGAGUGAUGUGGCGGCGCAGUAGCGCCCCCACUGACCAGCCGCCACAGCUACAGGUUCACCUUAAGUUAACUGACCUCCAAACAAGUUUCUUUCAGGCAACAGAUAAGAAGAGAAAUUAUCGAGUCUUUUAAUUUUUUAAUUGAUUGAUUGAAGUUUCUUUCGCAAACCAAAAAUAUCUAUAAAAAAACAAACAAACAAGAAAAGUAAGAGAAAACAUUUAAACAUAAAACAUAGGAAUACAUAUUCGAAAAGCAGUGAGAAGAAUAAUAAUUUAUGAACUCCCACCCCUCCCUUGAAAUAAUAAGUACCCACACCAAACAUUCUUGCAUCUUGUUUUGAUAUUCCUGAUAAUUAUCAUAAAUAAAGUACACUCAUGACUUUAUAUUACAAAACAAAAUCUACAUCCACUUAAUACAGCACACACAUAAAACAACAAAACAAUAUAAAACAAGAAAGAAACAACACAAAACAAAAAAACAAAAACAAAUAAUAACCUCAUAACACUUCCUCAUCCCCAUACCUCUUAAAAAUUGUGUAUUUAUACCUGUUUUUAAACUGUGUCAUGUUUGAACAUUGCUCUAACUCUAAAAUUUAACUGUGACUCUUAAUGGAGCUGAUGUUUUACCCCUGAGCUGAUCAGACUGACAGUAUUUGCUGUUUGGCCUUAAAGGAUGGUUUGUUUCAAGACAGCAGAAAAGUACAGUGGCCUAAAGGGUCAACUGCACAAACAUGAUGCAAAUAACUUUCCCCAGAAAGGCAAACCCAUUUCACAAAAUUCAAAAAUAUAUACUGUAAUAUAAUCAUAUUUUUUCAAAUGUAGAAACAGUAAAAACCAUGUAAGAUGAAAAAUGUUUUAUCACUUUAUUUCAUUAAACUCACAAACAUUGUUCACCUUAAACAUGCGGGUUUGUUUGCUCUGCAUAUAAACUCUGAACAGAUUUAUUUACACACUGUUUGCUGUUCUGUCCUCGUUUUUUCCUGUGUGUUGUUUCCCCUACAGUGCCGCACGUUUUGGUGUUACAGAUUUCCAGAGUAAUAUUUGGAGCGAGUUAAAAACCCUGAGGGGCCAAGAGCAGAGACAGACUGCAGCGAGUCACGGGAGGUUUGCAGGUUUUCAGCUGAUAAGAAUUGCAAAGAGUAAAAAAUAAAAAAAAUACAGAUCAGAUCAGAUCAGAGGGAGAAAUGCCUCCUGCCUCCUCGCAACCCCCCUCGGCUCUGUGGCUCUGUACGACACUUUUUCAGGCUGUUUGACACUCUUUCUGUGUCACUGUACUCGCUCUGUAAAUCUAUUUUUGGCGGGAUGGAGGGAGAAGAGAAAACGGUAGAGAGAUGGAGGGAAAGUGGGAGAAAAAUGUGCAGUUUUUCCAUCACGUGUCAAAAAAUGCAGAUAUUUUUAGAUAGAAACUCCUGAUCAGUAACACUGUGUAUCUUUAUCAACAGAGGCUUUAUAUCAGCCAUGUUUCUCUCAGUCAGGAGGCGACAGUUUCUUCUCAAAUUAUGACUUUAUUUAAUGAAUGGAGAAAGCAGGACAAAUUUUUAGAAAAAAAAUUAAAUAAAGUUUUAAAUAAAGCUUGCUGAUGUGGAAAAUUAGCUUUUUUGAAUGAGUGUGUAUGUGGUCCCCAGUGCCUCUGCAACCAGCCUCUAGUGGACACUCUGGGAACUGCAGGUUUUUAGCAUCUCUGCUGUGGCUUCAUUUCACAAGACUAGAGGUUGCUGCUUGGGAAUAAAGGGAGUCCAAAACGUUGUCGUUCAUGCUCAUAGGGGUUGAAGUGGUUUUGUAAAAGACCUGAUAAACGAAACAGAUGUCUCCUCUGAUAUUAACCAGGAAGGAGAAUUAAACAACAAUUUAUUCAGACAUCUCAAGAUGUCUACAGUUGAUUUAAUGAUUUAAAAGGGGGCAGUAUUAAAGUUUUUCCCCAACCAGGGAGGGUCAGAGUUAAUCCAGGGCUUGAAAAACACAGCAGGAUCUGGUCUUGAUCAGUUGAAAUUAGACGAAUUUGGAAAUCUUGACUUGAUAUAAAGCCUGGUAAGGCCUUUUUUAGACCUGGUUGAUAUGCUGUGCAGUUUAUGUGUAUAACAUAGUAUCUACUGUUCCUUCAGGACUCUGAAAUACUGAGACUCACCAUGAACAGAUAUACAGGCAUUUCCUUGUUAGAUGUAAUGAGCCAAUUCAUAGUGUUUACUGGAGGAUUUUUCUUCCCUUUAAAUCCAAACACAGGGUUUCAUUAGCAGCGCAGCAUAAUAUAGAUCUGUAUCUGAGUGUAAAUGUUCUAUCUAGAGGAGAAUCUGAGCUGAUCUCACAUGAUGACAUCUGUCUAUUAUCAGGUUACUGCUGAUGGGAACUGGGAUAUUAAUACAGAGGGCCGUGUUACGCCUGCUUCUGCUUUCCAGCCAGACUUUAUUUACUGAUAUUCUAAUGUUAGCUCCAUAAAUAGAUAUGAUGUUGGCUCUGUUGAUAAGAACUGUUGGCAGAAGAGAAUACUUUGCUUAGUUUUACACUUUCUGAAGCUGUUUUCGUCCUCUGUGUCCGACUGUUUCUUGUGUUUCAGUGCCAAUCAGAGCUGCAGAUACAGACAACUCCAUCAUAUGUUUAUCAGAGCUUCAGUCCCUCUGCUUCCACACCAGGGAGCCUCCAUCAGCUUGCCGCACAGCAUGCUGGGAGCUCUGGUUCCUCUGCGGCUCCAUCAUUUUCACUUCUCUUCUUGUUCUGUCUGAAACAUCUUCCCUGACAUGGCUCUGUCCUGACUGAAGUGUGUUCUCUCUCUGAUAACAGGUCACGUGAUCUGCAUGAAUUCACGUGGAUUCGGCCGACUUCAAAGAUAGAGGAGGAGUUUGCUCAAAGGAGACCGAGGGCGUGAUAAACGUAUGGAAAUCCCUGACGCUCUUCAGAGCCACUUGUUAUGCCAAUCACAUCAGCUGUUCUUUCAGCCUGACGAGGAAACACGCUCACCUGAACUCCUACAAUUACAAUUCAGACUCACCUUGAGAAGCAGAGGGAAGGUUUGCUCAUCUUAAGAGAGACUCAUGGAUGGCUUACAUCAGACGGGGGUCUACUGAGCAAAGACUCAGGGGCUGGGGGGGAGGUUGGGGCUUUCUAAGGUCUCGGUCUUUCCAACAAAGAAGCUUCUAUUACCCGCUGUUCAAUCACCUUUAAAGAAAAAUAUAAACUCUUUUGAGAUCCUGAAAAGGCUGAACUCACAGGCUCCCCAAUCUCUGUCAAAGACACCUGCACCUUCUUCAGACUCAAUCAUAGCAGCAGAGACGACAGCAGACUCUGAAGACGCUGCGCCUCAAGAAUUAUAAUCUUCUUCUGCUAAAUUGGAGCACGGGCCAUCUUUUUAUUACUUUAAUGACAUGCAGAUCAAUGAAAGUCAUUAAAUCUGAUCAAAUCUGAAAUCAGUUUGUUUUAAAAGGACAAAAAUAUUUCAUUAUUUACAGCCACCAAAAGAUUCAAAGAGUCUCUGUAUAAAUCUCUGUACAGAGGCGACCAAAAUCAAGAUUGAAUGGUCCUGAUUUCGAGGCCCUGAGGCAACACUGCAUUAAAAACAGACAGGGAAAUACUGCAUUUGCUCAAAAACCAUGGCCUGUGAACACAGUUUAUCACUGCAUCCACAGAUGAGGUCAAAACUGAACCAUGAAAAGAGGAAACCAGGUAGGAACAGAGAAACACCAGAGACUGACCAAUCAGAAUCUGACAUUCUCUCUGAUAAUCAUGGUCCUGUGAAUGCAGUUGAUGAAAAUGAAAGGUUUAAGCAUAAAUAAAUGUGAUCUCAUUGAAGAUGGACUGAGGGGAAGAGGAAAGUCAGUUAAGUGCCUCCAAAGUCCAGCAACAAACCGCUGACAGAGACAGUUUGGGAGUGGAUCAUGAAGAUUGAAAAACCAGAUAUCCAAAUAUUUUCCUGAAGAUAGACGGUUAAAACUAGAUGAAUUUUAGUGAAACUAAUUUGUUUUUUCUAAAGCCCUGUGAAAAUGAACUUGCUGAUAAAGAAACAGCUUGUGUGCCAGUGGCCACUGACCCCUCAUCUCUGCUUUGCUGUUUGAUGUUGCAGCGGAUGACACCCUUUGACACUGGCGUGGUGAUCUUAACAGCUCAUAUCUAGCCCUCUGUGGAUGUUUCUCUGAUCCUGGUCGAGCCUCAGGGGGACGACAGAUAAUCACAGAGCUGGCACAGAGUCCAACAUGUGACCCAAACAACCUACGACCAGAUCUUCUCCUCUGAAGUGAUUCAUUUCCUGUUUGGCAGUGCUGCGUCUGGCUUGGCAGCCAAUCGGGGCCUGAGUGGACUCUCCCCCUCUUCAUAACUUUGGAUAACAAGGAGAAACUGUGACCUCUGACCCACAGAAGGACGCCAACCACAGGCCUCAGUCAGGAAACAGGAAACAACAGGUCUAUGCUCAGCUCACGAGGGCCUACCCAUAAUUCUGAGCACGUUUUAUCAAUAUCCAUCUUCACACGGAGGAGUUUCCAAUAUUUCCACGUGUUAGUGAGCUCAGGAGACCAGGUUCAAGAGUCUGACAGUGAAAUGUUGUCCGAUUCAUGCCUAAUAGAGGAUUUCAGCUGCUCAAAGGUUUAGGAUCUCCUCUACUCACUGAACUCUCCUCUACUUUUGAGCGUCAAGGCUUUGGUAGACAACAAGCUGAGGGCCCCUCUGCUCUAUGGUGUGGAGGACGUGGUGUCCAUGAUCUCCAAACAGAAUGUCAAAUUUUGAUUCGGCACAGGACAGUCUGGCAAGACAGAGGCAGUAACAUUCGAGAGUUAAGUUGUAAAGUUAUGAAAAAAGUUUUUAUUUUAGGAAAAAUAAGUCAUACAUUUUUAAGAGUGGCUUCAGGUUGUGUUUUAUUUUGAAAGGGCAGAUCAGAGAGCAGGUGUCGCACGUUUUUAGCCCAUUAGAAAGACUGAUUUUGGAGCCCAGACUUCUUAUAAAUAUCUAAGAUACUAGACUUGGUACUGAAGACUGGGUCAAUGUUUUUAUUUCUUUUGUAGCUCACCAAAAUAAUAUGAAACUUUGAAUUACAGCACAAAAACAGCAUUUUAAUUUGAAUUUAAUUGAGAAGUGUCUCCACACAUGUGCAGUAUGUAAUAGCUAAAGUCAGCCUUGAACAGAUAAUAAAGGAGUUCAUGUUAUUUUGAUGCUUCAGGCUGUUGCUACAGAUCUGUCACCGAGCGGUCACGGCCCUUUGGGGAGAAGGAAUCCCCACAUGUUCAAGUCUGUGUUAGUGUGUGGACUCCCGGGCCUGUAAAACAAACGUUAUGUAACCUGGUGAGCUGCAGACAGUCUGAGCCCAGAGGUAACAGACACAAGGAUCAUCCCUGAUUACUGUUUCUGCUCGUUGGACCACAGAGAGACUGAAAUGAUGUUUUUCUGCACACAUCGUCUCGCUGCCUCUGCUUGACUCGACUCGUUUGGCUCUCAGACUUGUACGUUCUGUCUUUUCCAAUGAGGUUCACAGACUCCCUGAGCAAAACAUAAAAAUAACACUGCAUACCUGUUAAAGCCUUAAACACCAAUGCAGGCAGUAAGUUUGCGCACCAAAAAGCCUUAUGUUCAUUGAUGGAUAAAUGUCUUUUUUUUCAAACGACACACCCAGAAAUAUAACCUUCAGAAACACACUGAUAACAACAGCAGUUUUACCCUGCAGAGUGUGGGAGCUGCUGGUCCACUCCUGCCUAAAUAAGGGGUUGUGUGUGUGUGUUAUUGUGUGGCCCCCAAAUAUUGUGCAGACUUAAACAUUCCUACUGAGCAAUAGACGACUACUAAACGUCUAGUUUUUUUUUAGACCUAUAAUUUCAACCGUCUAGAUUCUGUAUAUUUUUAGACGGAAUUGAGACGUUGCACUUUCACUCAUUACUCAAUAACUAUUUAUGUCAAAAAGCAACUGUGAGUUGCAUAACUGAUCUGUAAAUACUGAACCAAAAAAUUAUGAUAGCCGUUGAGCAAUAUACAGUCAGACCUCCAUUAGCCGGCUAGUCUAAACUUUGUCGAAAUUUAGAUGUCCAAAAAACUUUCAUUUUUAGACCUGUGGUAGCCUGAUUUUAGACCAGUCAUCUAGACUACAUUUAGACAUCUACUGACGUCUUAUAGACCAAAAAAUACUCAGAGGGUGAGAAACACAAAAGCCAAACAACAAGAAAAGACACUACGUUAUAGUGUCAGUGGUAGACCAACAACUCCUGUGUUCUGCCAACCCAAAUUUCUGACAUGACAGGAAUUCAUCCAGUCAGUCAGGAGCAGCUGAUCAGGCUUUUAUGGGCUUUUGUCAACUUCAAGUGAAAUUUGGUCCAGGCACAGUUUAACUGCUGAGCUGUACCUUUGAAUUCUGUAAAGUGUGCAAAAAUGGGCCGUGGUUAAAAGUGUCAGGAUCAUCUGUUUAAUAUGCUGAUGAUGAUGCAAAACUCACCACCAGUUUUUAAAUGUGAUAUGACGGAGAGAUAAACACGUUCCUGAAGAGAAAUGUUCACCUCCUGCAGAUUUUUCACUGACUGUAAAUCCUCAGGUUCGUCAAACACUUGUGGCGCUCUGAGCUGCAGUAUGGCGAGCAUGUGUUUGGCAGUCAGGGUGGCCUUGAAAACAUUUCUGCAAGUGUUUCAGAGGAAUGAGGAGUAUGUGGAUGUUGUGUUUUUAUCUGUGGUUUCUAAAGAAGGACACACUGUGUUCAUGCUUUCUGUCAGAGUGGAGGUUUUAUGGAUUUAUCUCUGUAAAUUUCUGUGCGGUUUUGGCAGAUAUCAGUUGGUGAAUGGAGCUUCAGAAACACACAAACAUGGUCUCAUGUGUUGUGUUGUAAUCUGCUGAUUUACAGUCUAUGAAGGUGACUGUGUCAUUCAGCUGAAACUGGAGAUGGCACGUAUUUCUGAAGCCUCACUGACUGUCCUUGAACCUGUAAGUCUCACCUCACUGCAGAUCUGUUUAUAAGAAAACCGAUCCAAUACAGAAAUAUAGAAACCUCAGAAAUAUCACUGUUUUUGAGAGUAAACACAAAAGUCUUAAAGAGGACUACAGUUCUAGAUUUUUGGGUCUGUAUGAGAUCACUGAUCUAAAGAAGGCUGCUGAACUUGAUGGCCACGUGUUUACAAAAGCUGGACUCUCAAAACCAUCAGUAACAAGCUGAGGACAUCAAAAAUACCCUACCCCCUAAAAUGAUACAUUUAUUUCUCUCAUAUGCUUUUGGCUCAAUGGGUAAAUAUAAGUUUUUGAUAACCCUUUCUUUUACGGUACACUUAUUACCAGGUAAUUACCUAGAAACAACAUGAAAUUAUCUGGUAAUUACAUGAUAACUACUAAGUCAAUAAUGUCUAGCUACCAGGUAGGUAACCUUCCAUCAUCAUACAAAUCUGAAGCUGAAUUGCUCUGGUAUUUCCAGGAUUUUCUCCGCUUCCUGGAACCACCUCUUGUGCAGUAGCAUUGUACGCAUUUGGUGGGUGAGUCGCUGUGAUAAUGCUCGGCUCAAACAGCGUAUCGCUAUGCAGUCUUCGCACGCCCAUAGGCUGUAUCAAGUGUCAAUCAUAGAAUAAAAAAACCCCAAAUAGCUUUUGAAAAUGGAGCUGCACAGAAAAAAGAAAAAAUAGACAGUAUUGACUUAGUAGUUAUCAUGUAAUUACCAGAUAAUUUCAUGUUGUUACUAGGUAAUUACCUGUUAAUUACCUGGUAAUAAGUGUACCAUAAAAGAAAGCAUUACCAAGUUUUUAAAACAACAGCUCUAUUGAUUAGCCAAUUUAUCAAUAUAUGAUUCCCAUUUCAGCGCUCCAGAGAGUCAGUCAGAGUUUGGGUUUAAUCUUCCUAAACCACAUUUUGUUUAUUUACUGAAUUUUUCUCACAUAACAGCAAUGCCAAACAUAUUCCACAGACCUCAGACCCACAGCCCGACCUUUGACCCAGCCUCAGUCCCAGCAGGUCAUCUGCAGCCAACUGUAAUAAUGUCAGCAGUCCAACAGUGUGGUCAGAAAUCAUCACUGUUUAGGGACAGAAACACAGCUGCUUUCAGUUCACAGAGGGUGGAAUUUCAAACCAAAAUGUGUUUAACGCUUUCAAACAUCCACCGAUACUCCUUUUCAGGCCACAAUGAGAUGGAACUGGAGAGUUUCGAUAACCACCAACCACAGAAAUGGUUUCACUGGGCUGAGACUUUGGUGGUAAGUUAAUAUGCACAUUAUAUCCAGGUUUUUGGAUAUGAGAUUUACGAUGUUGCCAAAAAAUGUUGAGUUAUGUUUGUGUCUCAUUUCUUUGCAUAAACGCAAGUUUGUAUUUUCAGAGUUUUGUCCAAAUGUGAAAAGUUGAGGUGUUCCGUCAGCCUGAAAAAGUCCCUCCUGAUGGCACCAAAGUUGAGGCUGAUUUGAAUAAUUUCUUUGGUAUGAUUAUCUAUUACUCUGUAUGAAGAUGAAGAGGGCCGUGGAUGCAUAAGCUGAAAUAAAACUUAAUUUGUUACCAUUUAACACGACCUUGAAGCUCAAAAGCAACGUUUCAUUUCAAGUUUUUAUAUUGUUAACCUUUCUGAAUCUGACUUUGCUGCAGAAAUAUUAUUUCAGAUCUCCACUCACUCGUCUACAGAUAUCCUCUCUUCACUCCUCUG